UGAGGAAUAUUGGACAAUGGGUGAGAGCCUGAUCCAGCCAUCCCGCGUGAAGGACGACGGCUCUAUGGGCUGUAAACUUCUUUUGUAUAGGGAGAAACCUUUCCACGUGUGGAAAGCUGACGGUACUAUACUAAUAAGCACCGGCUAACUCCGUGCCAGCAGCCGCGGUAAUACGGAGGGUUCAAGCGUUAUCCGGAUUUAUUGGGUUUAAAUGGUUCGUAGGCGGAUCUGUAAGUCAGUGAUGAAAUCUCAUAGCUUAACUAUGAAACUGCCAUAGAUACUGCAGGUCUUGAGUAAAGUAGAAGUGGCUGGAAUAAGUAGUGUGGCGGCGAAAUGCAUAAAUAUUACUGAGAACACCGAUUGCGAAGGCAGGUCGCUGUGUUAUGACAGACGCUGAUGGACGAAAGAGUGAGGAGCGAGCAGG
rnacentral:rRNA from 1 species